UGCUAUUGAUAUUCUACUUGUUGACCCAGGUGGGGGCUGAGAGAGUAUGCUUACUGAUGUUUUCAUACUUUUCUGCAUAUAUAUUAUACUUCAAAAUACAGAGGGGUUUUCUUCUUUUUUUUUGGUUUGUUUGUUUUUCAGUGGUUGAAAGGAAGAAAACAGACACUGAGCUGAAUCUAUCACAGUCCUUGUCCCGGGAGCUGACCCAGAUACCCAACAAGAACAGACAGGAAGACGGUGAUAAAAAUUAUUCAUUCCUUCAGCAAAGCUCAUAAACCUGUUUCUCUGACUGUAUCCCUGUUCUUGUGCUGGGGCUGUGGGAAUGGAAGGAAAACAAGCACAGAGGCACUCAAGACAUCGGAAAUCAGCGAAUGAAUGAAUGAAUGAAUGAGUGACGCACAUCGAAGAAUCACCACCAAAGCCUUGUCAGCUCACACCGAUCAUGAAAACAUCUUCAUCAACUAAGGACCUGGAAUUGAAAGAUCACACAUUUCAUCUCCAGAAAGUCCUCAAAUGCUCUCCACCAUUGCUGUCUUCAAGACUGCUGCCCAAAACGACUGUCCGCGAAUGAGCUGGCCGGUUCUGAUGCACUUUGUUGGCAAAAACCAAAGGUCAGCUUGAUGGGUUCCCAUUUUCCUCCUCUGUAGAAGGACUGGGUUCCCUAGAUGACUUCUGUUGGCUGCUGGAAUCACUCAAGUGAAGGAUGGCCCCCUGUGGACGUUUAGAUCAAGGAGUUAGCAAAUACUCUCAGGCAAUGGACUUCACCAAAACCCCACCAUCUAUCUGAAUACCUGGGGAAGGGGUGAGGGGGGACCAGAGAGCGAUGAUAGGAGAGGAAAAAUCAGGCAAUGUUCCCUUUUCCAACUUCACACCUCCUUCCCUCUUUGUUUCCCCACCCCCUGAACAACA